UGAGGAACAUGACUUUCGGCGGGGGAUAGCCGGCCCAACGGCCGGGUAAUACCGCGUACGACCACAUGGGGACAUCCCUGAGUGGUGAAAGCAGCAAUGCGCCGAUGGAGUGCCUCGCGGCCUAUCAGCUAGUUGGUGGGGUAACGGCCUACCAAGGCGACGACGGGUAGCUGGUCUGAGAGGAUGGCCAGCCACAUUGGGACUGAGACACGGCCCAGACUCCUACGGGAGCAG
rnacentral:rRNA from 1 species